rnacentral:rRNA from 1 species
CGUUGCUCGGAAUCACUGGGCGUAAAGCGCACGUAGGCGGACUCUUAAGUCGGUGGUGAAAUCCUGGAGCUCAACUCCAGAACUGCCUUCGAUACUGGGAGUCUCGAGUUCGGGAGAGGUGAGUGGAACUGCGAGUGUAGAGGUGAAAUUCGUAGAUAUUCGCAAGAACACCAGUGGCGAAGGCGGCUCACUGGCCCGAUACUGACGCUGAGGUGCGAAAGCGUGGGGAGCAAACAGG